AGCUCACUGGUCGAGUGAUCCUGCGCCGAAGAUUUCCGGGGCUAAAACUUACUACCGAAGCUACGGCAUCAGUAAUGAUGGGUAGGGGAGCGUCCCAUACGGGUUGAAGCAUGACCGUAAGGACAUGGGGACAGUAUGGGAGUGAGAAUGUUGGCAUGAGUAGCGAGAUGUGGGUGAGAAUCCCACAGGCCGUAAACCCAAGGUUUCCAGGGGAAGGUU
rnacentral:rRNA from 1 species